rnacentral:rRNA from 1 species
GACGAACGCUGGCGGCGUGCUUAACACAUGCAAGUCGAACGGUGAUCUUGAGAGCUUGCUCUUGGGUGAUCAGUGGCGAACGGGUGAGUAACACGUGAGUAACCUGCCCCUGACUCUGGAAUAACUUCGGGAAACCGAAGCUAAUACCGGAUAUGACACAGAGCCGCAUGGUUUCUGUGUGGAAAGUUUUUCGGUUGGGGAUGGACUCGCGGCCUAUCAGCUUGUUGGUGAGGUAAUGGCUCACCAAGGCGACGACGGGUAGCCGGCCUGAGAGGGCGACCGGCCACACUGGGACUGAGACACGGCCCAGACUCCUACGGGAGGCAGCAGUGGGGAAUAUUGCACAAUGGGCGAAAGCCUGAUGCAGCGACGCCGCGUGAGGGAUGAAGGCCUCGGGUUGUAAACCUCUUUCAGUAGGGAAGAAGACGGCAAGUGACGGUACCGUACAGAAGAAGCAACCGGGCUAACUAACGUGCCAGCAGCCGCGGUAAU